rnacentral:lncRNA from 1 species
UACCUGUGCUGUUGUUGCGUAGACGGGGAGCUCAGCCCCUACACGGAGGUAGGCGUGCAGAGGGUCAGUCCCAAAGCGCAGGUGAGCAAAUCCCUGGGGGGUCACAGAGGGAGGGCAGCUAGUUCACCGGGGGCAGGAACAGCAAGAAUCUCAGUGUGGGGAGUUCCAGCGUGUGGUCCCUCGUCUCUGACAAGCUUUCUUUGCUUAGGACAGCUCCUCUGGAAAUGUUUUUGGUAGCAUGCAAGUAAUUUUAGCAUUUAUUUUCUAACUAUUUCCGCGGUGUUUCCUGAGUUAGCAUGUAUCUGGCUGGCAUCGAGCCCGUCCCGUUCGGAGCGCUUCCUGCUUCCUCGCAGCUGGAAAGAACCUCGAGGGAAAUCUCUCAAGGAGAGUGUAACGGGCCCUGCGUGGGGGUGUCUCAGUGCAGCAGAGCAUGAAAUGAAGCCAAGCGCGGCUGGCGCUUUGACCCCAAGUUCCAGAGGAGCCCGUGGGGCUUGUGACCCUGAAGGUGAAGGGUGAACAUGUGUGGAAACAGAAUCCAGCAUCGGAAGGAAGGAACCUCAUUCAGGCAGUUUUGCUACCAAGAGGCGCCUGGGCCCCGCGAGGCGCUGCGCCGGCUCCGCGAGCUGGGCCGCCAGUGGCUGAGCCCAGAAACACACACACGAAGGAGCAGAUCCUGGGGCUGCUGGUGCUGGAGCAGCUCCUGACCGUCCUGCCCGCCGAGCUCCAGGCCUGGGUGCGGGGACAGCACCCGGAGAGCGGAGAGGAGGCGGUGACUGUACUGUAAGGUCUGGAGCGGGAGCUGGACUGCAUGAGGCCGGCCAACAGGUGGGGGAAGAUGUGAGCUAUCCCGCAGGGGGGGGGGGUAUGUCUCUGCUCUGGGGGAGGCAUCUACCCAGCAGUUGCAGGGUGAACAGGUUUCAGUUUUCUCUAGACAAAUGCAGGGCUGCUAGCUUCAGGUUUUGUUCUUGUCCUGCCAGUGUCUUCUGGGAUUUUUCUCUAACCUCCAAGAUUCUUCACUCUAACCAAAGCCCUCCGAAGACAGGCGCAGAGUGCAGCGUUGCUUGGGCAAAUACCUAGCUGCCAAAAGGAAUACAGAAAGUGACCUUUUCAGCCUAGAAGUGAACCUUUCCAUUGCAAGUUCAGCUUUCUGAAUGGAGGGUUCUGGUGCCCAGUAAUGCCUAGAAUGUGUGCAGGGACAGAGGCUCAGAUCUGGUGCAGUUAGGAGGGACAGAGUGUGGAGCCAGAAGAUCAGUCACACAAACCCUCACUAGGACUUCUACGCAGAGAAACCAGGCAUGGAUGGUGGCUUGCGUUUCUUGCUGUUGUUGGGUUUUUUUUUUUCUUUUGAAGUUUAUUUUGAAAGUGAGAGAGAGAGAGAGAGAGAGAGAGAGAAUCCUAAGCAGGCUCCAAGCCCCACGCUGUCCGCACAGAGCCCAUGUGGGGCUCGAACCCAUGAACUAUGAGAUCAUGACCUGAGCUGAAGUCAGAUACUUAAGCCACUGAGCCACCCAGGUGCCCCUAUUUUUAUUUUAUUUUUUUAAGGUUUAUUUAUUUAUUUUGAGAAAGAGAGAGAGGGAGAGCGAGCAUGUGCCAGUGGGGGAAGGGCAGAGAGAGAGGGAGAGAGGAUCCCAAGCAGUCUCCUCCCACUGUCAGUGCUGAGCCUGAUGUGGGCCUUGAGCCCACGAACUAUGAGAUCAUGACCUGAGCUGAAGUCAGGAGUGGGAUGCUUAAUGGACUGAGCCACCCAGACGCCCCAUGUAAUUUUUUUUUAAUCUAAGUUUUGUAGUUUUCUUCAUAUAGAUGUUGCACAUAGUGUAUUAGAUUUAUACUGAAGUAUUUCAUUAUUUUGGCGUCAAUGUAAAUGGUAUUGUGUUUUUAAUCUCAAAUUCCAGUGGUUCGUUGCUGAUAUACAGGAAAGCAAGUGACCUUCGUUUAUGGACCUCGAUCUGUCGACCUUGCUAUCUGUAGUCACCUUUUAGUUCCUGGAGUAGAUUUCUUUUUCUUGACUUUCUGAGACUUUGUGUAUAGAUUAGCAUGUCCUCUGUGAACAAAGACAGUUUUAUUCCUUUCUUCCCAACCUCUAUACCUUUAAUGUCCUUUUCUUGUCUUGUUGCAUUAGUUAGGACGGCAUUGAAUGGGAGUGUUACCAGGGGACGUCCUUGCCUUCUUCCCGAUCUUAGUGGGAAAGCUCCUAGCUUCUCACCAUUAUGUAGAUGGAAGCUCUAGGGUGUUUAAAAAUAUUAGUUAUCAUCCUGAGAAAGUUCCCUUCUCUUCCUAGUUUGCUGAGAGUGGUUAUCAUGGGAGAGUGUUGGGUUUUUUCAAAUGCUUUUUCUGUUCAUCUUCUCUAGCCUGUUGGUGUGAUCAAUUAUACUGAUUCAUCUUCAAAUGUUAGACCAGCCUUGUAUGCCUGGAAGGAAGCCUAUUUGGUGAUGGUGUACAAUUCUUUUUAUACGCUAAUGGGUUUGGUUUGCUGGUAUUUUGUUGAGAAUUUUUGCAUUUGUGUUCACGAAAGACAUUGUAGUUUUCCUUUCUAUAAUGUCUUCAUCCGAUUGUGGUAUUAGGGUGAUGCUAGCCUCUUGGAAUGAAUUAGGAAGUAUCCCCUCUGCUUCUGUCUUCUGGAGGAGAGUAUGGGGAAUUGGUACCAUUUAUUCCUAAAACUUUUGCUAGAAUUCACCAGUGAAACUGUCUGGGCCUAGUGCUUUCUUUUUGGAAGGUUAUUAAUUAUUGAUUCACUUUCUUAAUAGUUAUAGGCCUGUUCGGGUGAUCUUUCUCCUCGUGUGAGGUUAGGUGGAUUGUGUCCUGGGAUUGGAUCAGGCUUCUGGUGCCUCCCAUCCUGGGAGUUCAUUCCCUGUGAUCUCCUUCCUGUGUUUUGGCCACGGGAUCCCUCUGCAGCCCAUAUACCUAACUGCUUUCAGGUUCCACCGUUCAAGUCCAGUCCUUUGAGACGCAACCCAGGAGCUCCUCCACACGAGGCGGCGGCGGGGGGCUGGGAUGGGGGUACCUGCGCAGCAAGCUGAGGGCGGUGAGAGUGUCCUCGGCUGCAAGCAUGUGCCAGCUGCAGGGUUCCAACUGGUUCUGUUCCUCAUCUUUGUUCAGUAGAGCUGCGGCAUACAAUGCAGAGUUUAAUGGGUUAGGUCGUGUAUUAACAAUUCCCAACUGAGCGUCCGACUCUUGAUUUCGGCUCAGGUCACGAUCCCAGGGUCAUGGAAUCGAGCCCCUCGUCAGGCUCUGUGCUGAGUGUGGAGCCUGCUUAAGAUUCUCCCAUUCCCUCUGCCCCCUCCCCCCACUUGAGCUCUCUUAAAAGCCAAAAACAUUACAAAUAAUCCCAGUGUGGGGGUGCCUGGCUCCCUCAGGUGGUAGAACACAUGGCUCUUGAUCUCGAGGUCAUGAGUUCACGCGCCAUGUCGGUGUAGAAUCUACUUUAAAAAAUGCACUCGAUUGUUCUUACGAUAAUCAUGUAGUAAAUAAAAAUACAUUUUAAAAAAAUCUCAGUGUAAACAUCAACAAGUCAGUCUCUUGUCCAGGCAAAUUAUUUGCAUUAUCACGAAUCCUGCUUUGAUGUCCUUGCUGACUAUGUGGUCACGUACUCCCUCUCUUUCAUUCUGCUGUUUGUUGACAUUGCUACUUUCUUUACCCUUUUCCAACCUGACAACCAAGCACAAGCUUCAGGGGAAGACAGUUGAAAGCAAAGUUGCUAAAUUUUCUCACAAUUCAAGAGAAUAGCUCUCUUUUAAUCUAAACCAGCUCCUUUUUCCAAAUUCUCUAUUUCUGUCAGUGAUGUUCUUGGUCCUCCAGGCUCCCAACCCAGAGGCUUUCCUUAACUCAGUUCAGUCCAACAGAUGUCUGUUCAACUUUGUUGAAUGUUUGAGACCCUGUGCUUCAGGAGAGGGUGAUCAUGACUGAGCCCCUGCCCUCCUAGCCCUGAUUAGACUGGCAUGGGAUGCCAGCUAUGAAUUUUCGUCACAGAUCAGCAAAAUGGUUGAGUGGCAAAAAUAAGUCAACAAAUAGUGGGUUAAGAAUCUAAGAUCUUCAGUGGCUUCAAGUUUGGAGCUAUUGCAAAGACUACCACUAGGAAUAUCCGUUUGGUGUGCAUGUAUAUGCGCCUCUGGCUGUGCACCUGAUGGUGGGAGGGCUGGUCCGUGAUUAUAGUAGUACUUGUUGAAUAAUCUUCCAAAAUGGUUCUAUUACCAGCAGAUGGUUCUACUUUCUCUACAGCCUUAUCACUACUCGGUUUUGUCAGUCUUUUUACCUGUAGCCACUCCCAUGGGUAUCUAGUAUUAUCUCUUUAUAGUUAUCAUACAUGUUUUCUUGAUGACUAAUGAGGAUGAGCACAUUUUCAUGUAUCUACUGGCCCUUUGGAUGUCUCUUCUUGUAGCAUGUGUAUCUGGCUCUUUUGCCCAUUUUUUCUGUUAGAUUAUUUGUCCACGGCUUUUUUAAGUGUCAUAUACAUCAUUUAAUUCUUUAGUUUGUCUCUAAAAACUGUAAGGGCUGAUAAGUUUUUAUUAGUCUGUCUUAUUAUUUUUUCCAAGAGUAAGAUUUCCAGUUUCUAAACCUGUUUUGACAGUAGCCAGGUCAAAGGAGAGAGUUUUAUGUUCUGGGUCUUCUGGGCUCUCAGGAAAGUCCCAAGAAAUGCCUGUACAAGAGCUGUGUUCAGCACAGUGACCUCAGGGCUUGGUGGGGGGGGGGGGGGGGAAGAGGCAUGAGGGUACUUGCUCCUGUAGAGAAGAGAGAGUGUUGCCAUCUUCGUAGGGGUCACUGCUAUCUGAAGACUCUGGCAUGUGAACUAGAGGCAGGGAACAUUGGUUGUUAGUGUAGAAAAGUAGAUAAAAAGCCCUUAGAGCCAGGGACGUCUUCAAGGAAGAUAGAUUUUUGAAGAAAAUGCACUGUAGCUAACCAAGGCUUUGGGAGAGUGGCAAGUGUAAUAACAGCACAAAAUCACUAUCCUACUCUUUAAUCACCCUUCCUGUUCUCAGAGAUCACUCUAGCUUUGUCUCUGAACAUGAUUCCUGUACAUGUUGCUGUCAGAGAUGAGAUGCCCCAGGGACCCAGGCUUCCUCAACAGCUGUCUCAUCUUCCCCAUGUUACAGAAACGAGUCUACUUUUGACCCUACUCAUUUUGUGAUUUGUGUAUGUCCAAGAGUUUGAACCUAGGAAAGACCGAAAGCAAGGAUUUCCAGCCAUAAGGUGCAGGAAGGGGUAGUUCCAUCUCCAAAGGAAAAGUUGAGAAAAGAGGCUGAUUUGGGAAAAUAUGAUCACUGGGUUUUGAAUAGGGAGAAGGAAACGGAACGUCCUAGUGAAACUGAGCUUUUGACCUCCGCCAAAGUGCAAAACUUGAGCUUAAGCAACAUUAGGGCUAUUUGUGAAUAUAUAGGCAGGAAAGAUUAAGCUGUAAGAUUUGCAAGCCAGUCAAGUCAACGUAAAGAGAAGGGUAGUGGGGUACGGGCUGCCAGAACACAAUGAGAGACAAGAGACAUAAAAGGGAAACCAGCCCUCUGGUUAGAAGCAGGACAGUCACUUCCUGGGAGCUUGAAAAUCUCAUCUGGUCCUUGUAGCCAGUGGGUCAGUAAGUUCUACCUGACUCCCUUCAAAUGUUUACACUCAUCUCUGCCUCCUUCGAUCUCGAAUCACCACCUCCUUGGAGCCCUCCUACGUUGUUCAUGUGGCCUUGGAACCAGUCUCCCUGUCUCCAGCCCUACCCCCAUCCACCUGUUGUGCGGGGGUCCAUCUUCCACACCAUCACCACAGCGACGGUCGUAAAACCCAGAGCCAAUGUCAUGUACCGCCUCAGCAUCUGCCGACGGCUCAAGACUCUUCAUGUCCAGCCUCCUCUUUCAGCCUCGUGGCCUUUCCCUUUCCUACUCAGUCUGUACAUCUGUUGUCCCAAAGGACCACUUCCAGAAUGCCCUGGUAACUCUGUGCAUACGUUCCAUCUGGAAGGUUCUUACGUCCCAUGUCUAACCAUCCGUACUCAUGUUUUAAGACAGCCCAAUCAGACUGUGCUUCAUGGAGCUUUGCGGUCGAUUGUCUCAGAGUUAGAUCCCUCAAGGGCUCUAACCCUCCCCUUCGUCAGAGCACCCGCCAUAUUGCAUUGUACCUGCAUACUUACCUGUGUGUCUCGUCCCUCCCAGAGCAUCUUCUUGUUUGCUCAGGUACACAGCAAGGAACAGUGCAGGCUUGGCGCAAGCCACUAUUCAGGUGUAAUACAAAUAAUUGUGGCAUCCUAAAAACCAAGAGAGUUUCUAGAAAUAUCGAGUAACAUUUCUUAAUCUUUUCUAAUGUUUUGCUUACACCACCAGGCGGGUCGUGCGAGGGUUCAGCUAACUGCUGGGUGGUGUUGGACAAACACACACCAGGGCACCAGAGAGUGAAUCCCUCCUUAAAUUGUGUACCCUAAGNCAGAGCCCCCGCCAUAUUGCAUUGUACCUGCAUACUUACCUGUGUGUCUCGUCCCUCCCAGAGCAUCUUCUUGUUUGCUCAGGUACACAGCAAGGAACAGUGCAGGCUUGGCGCAAGCCACUAUUCAGGUGUAAUACAAAUAAUUGUGGCAUCCUAAAAACCAAGAGAGUUUCUAGAAAUAUCGAGUAACAUUUCUUAAUCUUUUCUAAUGUUUUGCUUACACCACCAGGCGGGUCGUGCGAGGGUUCAGCUAACUGCUGGGUGGUGUUGGACAAACACACACCAGGGCACCAGAGAGUGAAUCCCUCCUUAAAUUGUGUACCCUAAGUGCCUCACUUGCCUCACCCCUGCUCUGAUCCUGAUAUGAGUUGAAUUUCUGAAGGAUGAAUGAGAGUUGAGAAAGCAGAGAAAACAAAUAUGGAAAGGCACAGUCGAGGGGGUUGCGAUGCUUUCCUGAAACUGGAAGUCUCUGAAUGUGACUAGAAAGAGCGGGGAGAGUCAGAGAUGAAGCACCAGAGAGGCUGAGUAAGGGCUGAGCUGGGGGCGCCCGGCUGCUCAGUCGGGAGAGCAUGCAACUCUUGAUCUGCAGGUGUGAGUUCAGGCCCCACGUUGGGCCCAGAGCUUCCUGAAAGAAGAAUUGCAUUGUAAGGGCCAAGCUAGAGUCUUGUCAGAUGAUUAAAAGCUAGAGUCUUCUCAGCCAGCAAAGCAGGCUGGAGAUAGGAUGGCAAUUGAUAUUCUGUGUCUGACUUGCUAGUGACAGGUAGGGCUUGUGGCAAACACACAAAGACAUGCUCCAUUCACGAUCAACGUCACCCCCCCCCCAAAAAAAAGACAAACAGAGAAAGAAAAAGCACCCACUGGCGUGUGGGCCAGAGCUUCCCUGAAGCCUUCCACAAUUAUGUUCCUGGUGUUCGCCCUCCGUGCCUCUGAAGGCCGGUCACAGGGGAACCCUGUUCCUGGUGUUCGCCCUCCGUGCCUCUGAAGGCCGGUCACAGGGGACCCUGUUCCUGGUGUUCGCCCUCCGUGCCUCUGAAGGCCGGUCACAGGGGACCCUGUUCCUGGUGUUCGCCCUCCGUGCCUCUGAAGGCCGGUCACAGGGGACCCUUGAGGUUUUAUACAAAGUCCUCAAUUGCGUCCUUUCCUCUCCCUGACAUGUUCUCAUGUCUAAGAAGGUUUGCACAAUCAUGGAAGCUUUACCACUCUCUUCGUGUUCACAGCGGCCUCUCUGCGGCGUGGAUUUGCUCAUGUGAAACACACAGGAGCCUGCAUGUGCCUCGUGAGCCGGUGUCUGGAGAGCGCCGUUCCGUCCUCAGAGUCGUCGCAGUACCGGCCCCCGGGGGGGGGGGGCAUCAUGACCCUGCCCACACGGGGCGAUUUGUUACCACAGUAACAGAUUUAUUAAGCGCAAAGUGCUUGUUAAUGUAACUAUUCUGUUCUAUAUAAAACUAUGAUACGGUGUUGAAUUUCUCAAGGUUACCUCUCUCCAGGAGAUACAGUCAGUGUGCUCAACUUCUUUGUGAAAUGGCCUUUUUUCACUUUUUUCACUCUACUGCGCUUCUUUUAUUUAUUUCUUUCUUUUUUAAUGUUUAUUUUUGAGAGAGUGGGAGUGGGGGAGGUGCAGAGGGACAGGGAGAAACAGAAUCCCAUGCAGGCUGCAUGCUGUCAGCACAGAGCCUGCCACGGGGCUCAAACCCACACACCGUGAGAAAUGACCUGGGCUGAAGUCGGACGGACGCUCCAGUGACCGAGCCACCCAGGCUCCCGGGCUGCUGCUUUUAAAAGGAGCUAAGAGGGACGCCUGGGUGGCUCAGUCGGUUGGGCGACCGACUUCGGCUCAGGUCAUGAUCUCUCGGCCAAGGAGUUCGAGCCCCGCGUCGGGCUCUGUGCUGACAGCUCAGAGCCUGGAGCCUGUUUCAGAUUCUGUGUCUCCCUCUCUCUCUGACCUUCCCCCGUUCAUGCUCUCUCUCUCUCUCUCUCUCUGUCUCAAAAAAUGAAUAAACGUUAAAAAAAAAUUUAAAAGAAGCUAAGAAAUAUGAAUCUCGCUUCCAAAAGGGAAUCAACUUUUAAUUAAAAGGAAACUGCAGAGCAAGUCACAUGAAACAAAACACUUUGUUUCUUCAAGCAGUAAAUCGGCCGCCUCUGUGCUAACAUUCAGAGCAUUGCCACCUUCUCGUCUGUUUAUUUGGGGCAUGUUUUGGUUGUCACAGUGACUGGGCUGUGCCACUUAGGUUUUGUGGGGGGGGAGGGUCCAGAAAUUCUUCACGUUACGGCAUCUUAUCUGCCACAUAUUGUGUAUUGUACCGGCAGUUGUACAGAGGAAGAAUUUUUCCACCCACAAGGCUACCUCUGGUCCCUUUGGAAAACACUGAAGUAAAGAACGGGGCGUAUUUCCAACGCAGGGAGACAAAGGUUUGUUCCUUAAACGAAGGUCAAGUUACAAGCAAGCUUAACUGUGCUCUCUUCUUUACCAAAAGUGACGCGGUGCUUUUAAUGCCACAUAGUGGGACGAAUCCAUUAGAGACGGACACGACACGCACCACGAGGCUGACGUGGCUCCGAUGCCGUGGCGGCCGUGGAAGUAAACCCGAGUGUAAGCCCGUCGGUGCCUCCUCACUUUGCUGCCGCUCUGGUCCGCGGCCCUCCUCAGCUGCUGGGGGCCUUCCUGGCCGCUUCCGGCCCCGUGCCGCCUGAGUCAAUCCAGUUGUGCUUCAAUAAAGUCUUAAGAUGUUUGAUAUGCCUCCGUUUGUCUGUUGUCCGGCGCGAGGAGAAGAUCACAUGUGUUCUGCACCUGAAAUGCAGACCCGCUGUGUCUGCAGAGAGAUCACGGCUUGUAGUCA